AAAAAGGAAGCAUGAACGACGAAGAGGGAGACUUGAUCACAGGCCUUCUAGCGGCGCCGUUUAUUGUUCUUCCAGUUAUUUUUCCGUUUGUCCUGCUUGUCCUUUUUCAGCUAUCAACCGAUGAGUUUUGGUGGGCUUCGCUCCAAGAUUAUUAUCCAAAGCAAGUAGCGAGGAAGAAACGUGAAGCGGCAGAA
rnacentral:ribozyme from 1 species